rnacentral:sRNA from 1 species
CACCUGGUCAAGCACCCCGAUGUUGGGAA